CAUUCCACCCGAUGCCAUCUCCCAGGGUGCAGCCUCCUCAUGGGGAAGAGGACUACCAUGGCUAGUGGUGACAUGGGUGGCUCUGGCCCCCAGCACUUCUCCCCGGGACCUCUGCUCAGGACAUGGCACGGACAGAGGUCUGUCUCUGACUAGCUACGUGACCUUGGAAGAGUCACUCCACCUCUCUGGGCAUUGAAGGUUUACAGCUUCUGACAUGUUCAUUCCAGAGGGUUGUCAGGACCUGACAGCCCUUCACCUAAACAAAACACUCUACAGUCUACAAAUAUUCAUAUAUCUCUUCUCUUCUCUGACCUCUGU
rnacentral:lncRNA from 10 species